rnacentral:rRNA from 1 species
CCUACGGGGUGCAGCAGUAGGGAAUCUUCCACAAUGGGCGAAAGCCUGAUGGAGCAACGCCGCGUGGGUGAAGAAGGUCUUCGGAUCGUAAAACCCUGUUGUUAGAGAAGAAAGUGCGUGAGAGUAACUGUUCACGUUUCGACGGUAUCUAACCAGAAAGCCACGGCUAACUACGUGCCAGCAGCCGCGGUAAUACGUAGGUGGCAAGCGUUAUCCGGAUUUAUUGGGCGUAAAGGGAACGCAGGCGGUCUUUUAAGUCUGAUGUGAAAGCCUUGGGCUUAACCGGAGUAGUGCAUUGGAAACCGGGAGACUUGAGUGCAGAAGAGGAGAGUGGAACUCCAGGUGUAGCAGUGAAAUGCGUAGAUAUAUGGAAGAACACCGAUUGCGAAGGCAGCAUACCGGCGCCCGACUGACGCUGAGGCACGAAAGCGUGGGGAUCGAACAGGAUUAGAUACCCGUGUAGUC